GACGAACGCUGGCGGCGUGCUUAACACAUGCAAGUCGAACGGAAAGGCCCUGCUUUUGUGGGGUUCUCGAGUGGCGAACGUGUGAGUAACACGUGAGUAACCUUCCCUUUACUUUGGGAUAACUUCAGGCAACUGGUGCUAAUACCUGCUAGGAGCUCCUGCUGCAUGGUGGGGUUUGGAAAUUUUCGGCGGUUGGGGAUGGACUCGCGGCUUAUUAGCUUGUUGGUGGGGUAGUGGCUUACCAAGGCUUUGACGGGUAGCCGGCCUGAGAGGGUGACCGGCCACAUUGGGACUGAGAGACGGCGCAGACUCCUACGGGAGGCAGCAGGGGGGAAUAUUGCACAAUGGGCGGAAGCCUGAUGCAGAAACGCCGCGAGCGGGAUGAAGGCCUUCGGGGUGUAAACCGCUGUAGGCUGUGACGAAGCGGGAGUGACGGUAAUGGGUAAAGAAGCACCGGCUAACUACGUG
rnacentral:rRNA from 1 species